rnacentral:rRNA from 1 species
CCUACGGGAGGCAGCAGUGGGGAAUAUUGGGCAAUGGGCGCAAGCCUGACCCAGCCACGCCGCGUGAAGGAAGAAGGCUCUCGGGUUGUAAACUUCUUUUAAGAGGGAAGAGCAGAAGACGGUACCUCUUGACUCAGCCACGGCUAACUAAGUGCCAGCAGCCGCGGUAAUUCGUAGGUGGCAAGCGUUUUCCGGAUUUACUGGGUGUAACGGGCGUGCAGCCGGGAAGACAAGUCAGAUGUGAAAUCCCGCGGCUCAACCGCGGAACUGCAUUUGAAACUGUUUUUCUUGAGUACCGGAGAGGUCAUCGGAAUUCCUUGUGUAGCGGUGAAAUGCGUAGAUAUAAGGAAGAACACCAGUGGCGAAGGCGGAUGACUGGACGGCAACUGACGGUGAGGCGCGAAAGCGUGGGGAGCAAACAGGAUUAGAUACCCCUGUAGUC